rnacentral:lncRNA from 1 species
CACACACACACACACGGUCGUUUUGUUCACACACACACACACACGGUCGUUUUGUUCACACACACAUACACGGUUGUUUUGUUCACACACACGGUCGUUUUGUUCACACACACGGUCGUUUUGUUCACACACACACACGGCCGUUUUGUUCACACACACACACGGCCGUUUUGUUCACACACACACGGUCGUUUUGUUCACACACACACACACAUACACACGGUAGGUUUGUUCUCACACACACACACACACACACACACGGUCGUUUUGUUCACACACACACACACGGUCGUUUUGUUCACACACACGGUCGUUUUGUUCACACACACACACACACGGUCGUUUUGUUCACACACACACACGCGUCGUUUUGUUCCACACACACACACACGGUCGUUUUGUUCACACACACACACACACGGUCGUUUUGUUCACACACACACACGGUCGUUUUGUUCACACACACACACGGUCGUUUUGUUCACACACACACGGUCGUUUUGUUCACACACACACACGGUCGUUUUGUUCACACACACACACGGUCGUUUUGUUCACACACACGGUCGUUUUGUUCACACACACACGGUCGUUUUGUUCUCACACACACACACACACACACGGUCGUUUUGUUCACACACACACACGGUAGUUUUGUUCACACACACAAACACGGUCGUUUUGUUCACACACACAAACACGGUCGUUUUGUUCACACACACACACACACACAGUCGUUUUGUUCACACACACGCACACACACAUACACACACGGUCGUUUUUUCAAACACACACACACAGUCGUUUUGUUCACACACACACACACACACACACGGUCGUUUUGUUCACACACACGGUCGUUUUGUUCACACACACAUACACACACGGUCGUUUUGUUCACACACACACACACACACACACACACACACACACACACACGGUCGUUUUGUUCACACACACACGGUCGUUUUGUUCACACACACACGGUCGUUUUGUUCACACACACACACAUACACACGGUAGGUUUGUUCUCUCACACACACACGGUCGUUUUGUUCACACACACACACACACACACACGGUCGUUUUGUUCACACACACACACACGGUCGUUUUGUUCACACACACACACGGUCGUUUUGUUCACACACACACACACACACACACACACACGGUCGUUUUGUUCACACACACGGUCGUUUUGUUCACACACACACACACACACGGUCGUUUUGUUCACACACACACACACACGGUCGUUUUGUUCACACACACACACACACGGUCGUUUUGUUCACACACACACACACACACACACACGGUCGUUUUGUUCACACACACACACGGUCGUUUUGUUCACACACACACGGUCGUUUUGUUCACACACACACGGUCGUUUUGUUCACACACACACACGGUCGUUUUGUUCACACACACACACACACACGGUCGUUUUGUUCACACACACACGGUCGUUUUGUUCACACACACACACACACACACGGUCGUUUUGUUCACACACACACACGGUCGUUUUGUUCACACACACACACGGUCGUUUUGUUCACACACACACACGGUCGUUUUGUUCACACACACACACACACGGUCGUUUUGUUCACACACACACACGGUCGUUUUGUUCACACACACACACACGGUCGUUUUGUUCACACACACACACGGUCGUUUUGUUCACACACACACACACACACACACACACGGUCGUUUUGUUCUCACACACACACACGGUCGUUUUGUUCACACACACACACACACACGGUCGUCGUUUGCACACACACACGGUCGUUUUGUUCACACACACACACACACACACACACGGUCGUUUUG